CCCGGAUAGCCUAGUGGUUAGGUGUUCGAUUCACAUUCGUUCAUCCCGGGUUCGAGUCCCAGUGGGA
rnacentral:tRNA from 1 species